GGUUAAGCGACUAAGCGUACACGGUGGAUGCCCUGGCAGUCAGAGGCGAUGAAGGACGUGCUAAUCUGCGAAAAGCGUCGGUAAGGUGAUAUGAACCGUUAUAGCCGGCGAUGUCCGAAUGGGGAAACCCAGUGCAAUUCGUUGCACUAUCGUUUGAUGAAUACAUAGUCAAACGAGGCGAACCGGGGGAACUGAAACAUCUAAGUACCCCGAGGAAAAGAAAUCAACCGAGAUUCCCCCAGUAGCGGCGAGCGAACGGGGAGCAGCCCGGAGUCUGAAUCAGCUUGUGUGUUAGUGGAAGCGUCUGGAAAGUCGCAGGGUACAGGGUGAUACUCCCGUACACUAAAACACACAGGUUGUGAACUCGAAGAGUAGGGCGGGACACGUGGUAUCCUGUCUGAAUAUGGGGGGACCAUCCUCCAAGGCU
rnacentral:rRNA from 1 species